rnacentral:rRNA from 1 species
AGCGUACACGGUGGAUGCCCUGGCAGUCAGAGGCGAUGAAGGACGUGCUAAUCUGCGAUAAGCGUCGGUAAGGUGAUAUGAACCGUUAUAACCGGCGAUUUCCGAAUGGGGAAACCCAGUGUGAUUCGUCACACUAUCAUUAACUGAAUCCAUAGGUUAAUGAGGCGAACCGGGGGAACUGAAACAUCUAAGUACCCCGAGGAAAAGAAAUCAACCGAGAUUCCCCCAGUAGCGGCGAGCGAACGGGGAGCAGCCCAGAGCCUGAAUCAGUGUGUGUGUUAGUGGAAGCGUCUGGAAAGGCGCGCGAUACAGGGUGACAGCCCCGUACACAAAAAUGCACAUGCUGUGAGCUCGAUGAGUAGGGCGGGACACGUGGUAUCCUGUCUGAAUAUGGGGGGACCAUCCUCCAAGGCUAAAUACUCCUGACUGACCGAUAGUGAACCAGUACCGUGAGGGAAAGGCGAAAAGAACCCCGGCGAGGGGAGUGAAAAAGAACCUGAAACCGUGUACGUACAAGCAGUGGGAGCACGCUUAGGCGUGUGACUGCGUACCUUUUGUAUAAUGGGUCAGCGACUUAUAUUCUGUAGCAAGGUUAACCGAAUAGGGGAGCCGAAGGGAAACCGAGUCUUAACUGGGCGUUAAGUUGCAGGGUAUAGACCCGAAACCCGGUGAUCUAGCCAUGGGCAGGUUGAAGGUUGGGUAACACUAACUGGAGGACCGAACCGACUAAUGUUGAAAAAUUAGCGGAUGACUUGUGGCUGGGGGUGAAAGGCCAAUCAAACCGGGAGAUAGCUGGUUCUCCCCGAAAGCUAUUUAGGUAGCGCCUCGUGAAUUCAUCUCCGGGGGUAGAGCACUGUUUCGGCAAGGGGGUCAUCCCGACUUACCAACCCGAUGCAAACUGCGAAUACCGGAGAAUGUUAUCACGGGAGACACACGGCGGGUGCUAACGUCCGUCGUGAAGAGGGAAACAACCCAGACCGCCAGCUAAGGUCCCAAAGUCAUGGUUAAGUGGGAAACGAUGUGGGAAGGCCCAGACAGCCAGGAUGUUGGCUUAGAAGCAGCCAUCAUUUAAAGAAAGCGUAAUAGCUCACUGGUCGAGUCGGCCUGCGCGGAAGAUGUAACGGGGCUAAACCAUGCACCGAAGCUGCGGCAGCGACGCUUAUGCGUUGUUGGGUAGGGGAGCGUUCUGUAAGCCUGUGAAGGUGUGCUGUGAGGCAUGCUGGAGGUAUCAGAAGUGCGAAUGCUGACAUAAGUAACGAUAAAGCGGGUGAAAAGCCCGCUCGCCGGAAGACCAAGGGUUCCUGUCCAACGUUAAUCGGGGCAGGGUGAGUCGACCCCUAAGGCGAGGCCGAAAGGCGUAGUCGAUGGGAAACAGGUUAAUAUUCCUGUACUUGGUGUUACUGCGAAGGGGGGACGGAGAAGGCUAUGUUGGCCGGGCGACGGUUGUCCCGGUUUAAGCGUGUAGGCUGGUUUUCCAGGCAAAUCCGGAAAAUCAAGGCUGAGGCGUGAUGACGAGGCACUACGGUGCUGAAGCAACAAAUGCCCUGCUUCCAGGAAAAGCCUCUAAGCAUCAGGUAACAUCAAAUCGUACCCCAAACCGACACAGGUGGUCAGGUAGAGAAUACCAAGGCGCUUGAGAGAACUCGGGUGAAGGAACUAGGCAAAAUGGUGCCGUAACUUCGGGAGAAGGCACGCUGAUAUGUAGGUGAAGUCCCUCGCGGAUGGAGCUGAAAUCAGUCGAAGAUACCAGCUGGCUGCAACUGUUUAUUAAAAACACAGCACUGUGCAAACACGAAAGUGGACGUAUACGGUGUGACGCCUGCCCGGUGCCGGAAGGUUAAUUGAUGGGGUUAGCGCAAGCGAAGCUCUUGAUCGAAGCCCCGGUAAACGGCGGCCGUAACUAUAACGGUCCUAAGGUAGCGAAAUUCCUUGUCGGGUAAGUUCCGACCUGCACGAAUGGCGUAAUGAUGGCCAGGCUGUCUCCACCCGAGACUCAGUGAAAUUGAACUCGCUGUGAAGAUGCAGUGUACCCGCGGCAAGACGGAAAGACCCCGUGAACCUUUACUAUAGCUUGACACUGAACAUUGAGCCUUGAUGUGUAGGAUAGGUGGGAGGCUUUGAAGUGUGGACGCCAGUCUGCAUGGAGCCGACCUUGAAAUACCACCCUUUAAUGUUUGAUGUUCUAACGUGGACCCGUAAUCCGGGUUGCGGACAGUGUCUGGUGGGUAGUUUGACUGGGGCGGUCUCCUCCUAAAGAGUAACGGAGGAGCACGAAGGUUGGCUAAUCCUGGUCGGACAUCAGGAGGUUAGUGCAAUGGCAUAAGCCAGCUUGACUGCGAGCGUGACGGCGCGAGCAGGUGCGAAAGCAGGUCAUAGUGAUCCGGUGGUUCUGAAUGGAAGGGCCAUCGCUCAACGGAUAAAAGGUACUCCGGGGAUAACAGGCUGAUACCGCCCAAGAGUUCAUAUCGACGGCGGUGUUUGGCACCUCGAUGUCGGCUCAUCACAUCCUGGGGCUGAAGUAGGUCCCAAGGGUAUGGCUGUUCGCCAUUUAAAGUGGUACGCGAGCUGGGUUUAGAACGUCGUGAGACAGUUCGGUCCCUAUCUGCCGUGGGCGCUGGAGAACUGAGGGGGGCUGCUCCUAGUACGAGAGGACCGGAGUGGACGCAUCACUGGUGUUCGGGUUGUCAUGCCAAUGGCACUGCCCGGUAGCUAAAUGCGGAAGAGAUAAGUGCUGAAAGCAUCUAAGCACGAAACUUGCCCCGAGAUGAGUUCUCCCUGACUCCUUGA